GGCACUAUAGUGUAGUGGUUAUCACUCGGGAUUUUGAAGAUACCAGGAUCUUUAGUUUCCCGAAACCCAGGUUCGAACCCUGGUAGUGCCU